UACGAAGGGGGCUAGCGUUGUUCGGAAUUACUGGGCGUAAAGCGCACGUAGGCGGAUAUUUAAGUCAGGGGUGAAAUCCCAGAGCUCAACUCUGGAACUGCCUUUGAUACUGGGUAUCUCGAGUCCGGAAGAGGUAAGUGGAACUGCGAGUGUAGAGGUGAAAUUCGUAGAUAUUCGCAAGAACACCAGUGGCGAAGGCGGCUUACUGGUCCGGAACUGACGCUGAGGUGCGAAAGCGUGGGGAGCAAACAGG
rnacentral:rRNA from 1 species